AGUCGANCGAUGAUCCGGUGCUUGCACCGGGGAUUAGUGGCGAACGGGUGAGUAACACGUGAGUAACCUGCCCUUGACUCUGGGAUAAGCCUGGGAAACUGGGUCUAAUACCGGAUAUGACUCCUCAUCGCAUGGUGGGGGGUGGAAAGCUUUUGCGGUUUUGGAUGGACUCGCGGCCUAUCAGCUUGUUGGUGAGGUAAUGGCUCACCAAGGCGACGACGGGUAGCCGGCCUGAGAGGGUGACCGGCCACACUGGGACUGAGACACGGCCCAGACUCCUACGGGAGGCAGCAGUGGGGAAUAUUGCACAAUGGGCGAAAGCCUGAUGCAGCGACGCCGCGUGAGGGAUGACGGCCUUCGGGUUGUAAACCUCUUUCAGUAGGGAAGAAGCGAAAGUGACGGUACCUGCAGAAGAAGCGCCGGCUAACUACGUGCCAGCAGCCGCGGUAAUACGUAGGGCGCAAGCGUUAUCCGGAAAUUAUUGGGCGUAAAGAGCUCGUAGGCGGUUUGUCGCGUCUGCCGUGAAAGUCCGGGGCUCAACUCCGGAUCUGCGGUGGGUACGGGCAGACUAGAGUGAUGUAGGGGAGACUGGAAUUCCUGGUGUAGCGGUGAAAUGCGCAGAUAUCAGGAGGAACACCGAUGGCGAAGGCAGGUCUCUGGGCAUUAACUGACGCUGAGGAGCGAAAGCAUGGGGAGCGAACAGGAUUAGAUACCCUGGUAGUCCAUGCCGUAAACGUUGGGCACUAGGUGUGGGGGACAUUCCACGUUUUCCGCGCCGUAGCUAACGCAUUAAGUGCCCCGCCUGGGGAGUACGGCCGCAAGGCUAAAACUCAAAGGAAUUGACGGGGGCCCGCACAAGCGGCGGAGCAUGCGGAUUAAUUCGAUGCAACGCGAAGAACCUUACCAAGGCUUGACAUGGACCGGAUCGCCGCAGAAAUGUGGUUUCUCCUUUGGGGCCGGUUCACAGGUGGUGCAUGGUUGUCGUCAGCUCGUGUCGUGAGAUGUUGGGUUAAGUCCCGCAACGAGCGCAACCCUCGUUCCAUGUUGCCAGCACGUAGUGGUGGGGACUCAUGGGAGACUGCCGGGGUCAACUCGGAGGAAGGUGGGGACGACGUCAAAUCAUCAUGCCCCUUAUGUCUUGGGCUUCACGCAUGCUACAAUGGCCGGUACAAAGGGUUGCGAUACUGUGAGGUGGAGCUAAUCCCAAAAAGCCGGUCUCAGUUCGGAUUGGGGUCUGCAACUCGACCCCAUGAAGUCGGAGUCGCUAGUAAUCGCAGAUCAGCAACGCUGCGGUGAAUACGUUCCCGGGCCUUGUACACACCGCCCGUCAAGUCACGAAAGUNNGUAACACCCGAAGCC
rnacentral:rRNA from 1 species